UCGAAAUGCCCAUGACAGAGUUGUCGCUGGCCUUCUGGCCGUGCACGCUCCGUCCUUCUUCAUUUCUCCAUCUACUUGUGCACUCGCCUGCAUGGAUCUCAUUCUCCGAGGGUUUCCUCGGAUCCAUUAGGACUGCUUUGCAAAAAACAUUUUUGUGGGCUUUCCUUGUUAUUCCAUGUCUUUCUUCACAUACCCCAGUUGUAACCAUGAAAUGGAUGAAUUUUGAUGCAUAAUA
rnacentral:misc_RNA from 1 species